GUCACUGUCCAUAAAUAACUCAUCGGUUUGAGUUAUUUUAAAGUGACCCGCCUAAGUUCUUUGAGAACGACGUUAGGGGCGAAAAUAUAGGCACCUUGGGAUGCUUCGGAAGUCUCAAGCUCUGCG
rnacentral:sRNA from 17 species